UACAGAGGUGGCAAGCGUUGUUCGGAAUUACUGGGCGUAAAGAGCUCGUAGGCGGUGUGUCACGUCGGCCGUGAAAACCUGCAGCUUAACUGUGGGCGUGCGGUCGAUACGGGCAUCACUGGAGUUCGGCAGGGGAGACUGGAAUUCCUGGUGUAGCGGUGAAAUGCGCAGAUAUCAGGAGGAACACCGGUGGCGAAGGCGGGUCUCUGGGCCGAUACUGACGCUGAGGAGCGAAAGCGUGGGGAGCAAACAGG
rnacentral:rRNA from 1 species